UAGUGCUAGGAACAAGAUGGCUAGCAUAUGCCACUGUAUUGAUUUGACUGAUCUGCUUGACUGGGUUGGUGGUCCUUUUCUUCCUCCCUGCCCCAUGUGUGUGUCACCUCAAUCCUGAAGUUGCAUGCUAGGUAGGAAAGGGUCGCCUUCCCAGGAUAGAGACAAACUGAUGUGGGUAAAGGGUAUAUGAAUGGUAGCGUUCCCCUACAUGGACCUUCAAACGUGUUCUCAAUUUCCAUUUUAAUUUAAUUAUUUUAUUUUUAAUAAAAUAAAAGAUUUAUU
rnacentral:snRNA from 1 species